GACGAACGCUGGCGGCGUGCUUAACACAUGCAAGUCGAACGAAGUGGCGAACGGGUGAGUAACCCGUCAUAAACCUGCCCUUCAGAGGGGGACAACAGUUGGAAACGACUGCUAAUACCGCAUACUGAAGUAGGGGAUUGCGUCUGAUUAGCUAGUUGGAGGGGUAAAGGCACAAGAAGGCGAUGAUCAGAAGCCGGUCUGAGAGGAUGAACGGCCACAUUGUGACUGAGACACGGCCCCGACGCCUACGGGAGGCAGCAGUGAGGAAGCUACCGCAAUGGACGAAAGUCUGACGGAGCAACGCCGCGUGAGGGAUGACGGCCUUCGGGUUGUAACGCUCUGUUAAUCGGGACGCGGUACCGGAAGAGAAAGCCACGGCUAACUACGUGCCAGCAGCCGCGGUAAUAC
rnacentral:rRNA from 1 species